UACGGGAGGCAGCAGUGGGGAAUAUUGGACAAUGGGCGCAAGCCUGAUCCAAGCAAUACCGCGUGUUAUGAAGAAGGCCCUGAGGGUUGUAAAGUACUUUCAAUUGUGAAGAAAAGCUAAUGGUUAAUACCCAUUAGCCUUUGACGUUAACUUUAGAAGAAGCAACCGGCUUAACUCCGUGCCAGCCAGUCCGCGGUAAUACGGAGGGUGCAAGCGUUAAUCGGAAUUACUGGGCGUAAAGAAUAAGUAGGUGGUUUGUUAAGUUACCAUGUGAAAGACCAAGGGCUCAACCUAGGAACUGCAUUCUAAAACUGGCGAACUAGAGUUAUACGAGAGGAAAGUGGAAUUUCAGGUGUAGCGGCUGAAAUGCGUAGAUAUCUGAAGGAACAUCAAUGGCGAAGGCAGCUUUCUGGACUAAUACUGACACUGAGGUACGAAAGCGUGGGUAGCAAACAGGAUUAGAUACCCUGGUAGUCCACGCCGUAAACGAUGACAACUAGCCGUUGGGAGGAUUUACCUCUUAGUGGCGAAGCUAACGCGUUAAGUUGUCCGCCUGGGGAGUACGGCCGCAAGGCUAAAACUCAAAGGAAUUGACGGGGACCCGCACAAGCGGUGGAGCAUGUGGUUUAAUUCGAUGCAACGCGAAGAACCUUACCUGGUCUUGACAUACACGGAACUUUCCAGAGAUGGAUUGGUGCCUUCGGGAACCGUGAUACAGGUUGCUGCAUGGCUGUCGUCAGCUCGUGUCGUGAGAUGUUGGGUUAAGUCCCGUAACGAGCGCAACCCUUAUCCUUAUUUGCCAGCACAUCAUGGUGGGAACUAUAAAGGAGACUGCCCGGUGAUAAACCGGAGGAAGGCGGGGACGACGUCAAGUCAUCAUGGCCCUUUACGACCAGGGCUACACACGUGCCUACAAUGGGAAGGACAAAGGGUCGCAACCUCGCGAGAGCAAGCUAAUCUCAUAAACCUUUUCGUAGUCCGGAUCGGAGUCUGCAACUCGACUCCGUGAAGUCGGAAUCGCUAGUAAUCGUGGAUCAGAAUGCCACGGUGAAUACGUUCCCGGGUCUUGUACACACCGCCCGU
rnacentral:rRNA from 1 species